GUAUUCCGGCCGCGAUUCUCUUUCAGAUGGCUCUGAGACACGCUGCAAAAAAGACCCGUGCAGAACGAGCAGCUGUGGCCUGUGGGCGGCGGAACGACGGCGGUGGCUGCUUGCACGGGCCAGAUCCGUGCACGGCAGGGGCUGGGGAGGCUGAUUCGGAGGCGGGCGGCGACGCCGGGGUCGCCAGUGACGAUGAGGAAGGCUGGGGCGUGGCCUCCCGGGCGGAUCCAUGACAUCUGCGGCUCCUGGGCGGAAAGAAGAAUGGAGGUGAGGGAGAGAAGAAGGGAGAAAGGAGGGGAGGUGUGGCGUCCUAGGCAGGAGCUCGCCAGAGCGGGGCGACGGUGGACGGGCGCAGGAGAUGGAGGGAUUUGGAGCCGGCCGGUCGAGCGACACCAACCAGGCCACAGGUGGCGUAGACUUGACCAUCAGCACAAUGUCCAUCGUCGCAGAAGCAUAGGUGGUAGACAGUGAGCUUUUUGGAGGAAGCGAGACGAAGAUUUCUAUUCACGAAAAAGAUGGAGCCGCCAUCAGCAAGCACUAACGAGCAGCUCAGUCUCAGAUGACGCAUCGACUAGCUGAGGCAGGUUUCUAAUAGAGAAAUAAGGAGGAUAGUAAGACUUUUCCCAUGAUUCUCUUGGAGGUCAUGUCUCUAUGCCAUUCAAGGAUUUUGAUAUCUAAAUGUUAUGACAAUAUAUAUAUAGGGGAGAUAGCCCUCCACGUCCUGGUGGCCACUAUAUGCUGCAGCGAAGGGCACAUUUCAAUUAGUGAGGAGGUAGAUGCGGCGAUCCUGGAUGUGCCUUGACAUUGUGAUUUGUAGUUGUCAAGGACGUCAUUACCCAAGCCAUUCCUAUGCUUCGGUGAGUGGUACUUCCCCCACACUAAUUUGUUUGAUGAUUAUUGAGUGCUAUGACCUAAUUAAUGUGCAGAUUUAGACACACGACCAAGGAAUGAAAAACCUGCUCCUGAGAUCUUCAAAAUAGUACAAUGUUAGGUAUUGUAGAGUACAAUUUGUUAAGCUAUGUUUUGCAUGGAAGCUAAUCCAUAUUUGAGGUGUAAUAGAUACACAUGCCUGAAUCUGGAUACACUCCAAUGCUGAUGGUAUUACUUUCAGUCACUCACAAACAAUAAGGUUCAGCAUACAAGGCAGAGUCCACUGCUAUUGGACUCGGGUGCCGGUAUUCAAUUUCUUAUACAUUUUAUUUCUAUAGGACUUCUGAUUACUGGCUGCAAACUUUGUGCUCCCUCCGUAAAGAAAUAUAAGAGCGUUUAGAAUUUCUUUACAGAGGGAGUACAAGGCAGUCUGAGCUACCACUUGGUGAAGAUGGGAUCCAAUACGUUCAGUGAUACCUUUUUUUUGUAGGGAAUCACUGAUAUGAUACAACUACUACCUCUGUCAUAUGAUAAAAGACACUUUUGCAUUUCAAUUUAAACUGCAAAACCGUCUUAUAUUAUGGCAGGGAGGGAGUAUUUGUUAUCAGAUUUUUUUAGGGGAAUGUUAUCUGAUUUUUUUAAUACACCCAUGGAGAUGUCUCAAUGCUCAUUUAUAAAGCUUCCAUCUAUGAAUGAAUUUCCGAAUAUUACCAUCUGCAAUGUGUAUGUAUGAUAAUAGUAGUACACUUGCGAUGAUGUUGUUCAAGUAUUGUACAAUAGUUCCAUUCAAGUCAUUUUUUCCCGUUGCAUCGCACGGGCAUUUGUGCUAGUUUCAGUAAUUUAUUUUAUUCUUUACUUAGUAUGUAUGUAUUCAAUUAUUCAUCCAAGAUUCAUCCUUAAAUUUCAGUGUACACGAAAUUUUAAAAUUUUAAUGUAUAAUUUUCUAAUUCAAUCGUUCACAGUAUGUACUCACUCAUGCUAACUUUUUGUCGGUCUAUAAAUGUCUAGGGUUCCAAUCAUCCCAUGUAUAAAUUUUUGCAUUGAGAAGGAUAUCUUGGACAAUGUUGAUCUUGAUUGUGCCCUUAAUGACUUUGCAUCAAGAAAUGCCAGAAGAAACUUUUUCUGAAGCACUAAAGGAUUAUUGUUGUCGAUGGAAUCAGUCAAAUUUGGUUCUUAUUUGAGAGUACCCGGAGUGCGCAGCGUGCUACUUCAAUCUCUAGGUUUCACGGAUCAUCAGCAAG